rnacentral:rRNA from 1 species
CCCUUAGAUGUCCGGGGCUGCACGCGCGCUACACUGAAGGAAUCAGCGUGCUAAAACCAUUGUCGAAAGGCAUUGGUAAACCCAUUAAAAUCCUACGUGAUUGGGAUCGGGAAUUGCAAUUAUUUCCCUUGAACGAGGAAUUCCCAGUAAGUGUGGGUCAUAAGCUCGCGUUGAUUACGUCCCUGCCCUUUGUACACACCGCCCGUCGCUGCCCGGGACUGAGCCGUUUCGAGAAAAGCGGGGACUGCUGCUGUCGGGGCUUUCGGGCCUUGGCUUCGGUGGAAACUGCUUUAAUCGCAGUGGCUUGAACCGGGCAAAAGUCGUAACA